GAUGAACGCUGGCGGCGUGCUUAACACAUGCAAGUCGAACGGAAAGGCUCCUGCUUGCAGGGGUACUCGAGUGGCGAACGGGUGAGUAACACGUGGGUGAUCUGCCCUGCACUUCGGGAUAAGCCUGGGAAACUGGGUCUAUUACCGGAUAGGACGAUGGUUUGGAUGCCAUUGUGGAAAGUUUUGCGGUGUGGGAUGGGCUCGCGGACUAUCAGCUUGUUGGUGGGGUAAUGGCUUACCAAGGCGUCGACGGGUAGCCGGCCUGAGAGGGUGUGCGGCCACAUUGGGACUGAGAUACGGCCCAGACUCCUACGGGAGGCAGCAGUGGGGAAUAUUGCACAAUGGGCGCAAGCCUGAUGCAGCGACGCCGCGUGGGGGAUGACGGCCUUCGGGUUGUAAACUCCUUUCGCUAGGGACGAAGCGCAAGUGACGGUACCUGGAGAAGAAGCACCGGCUAACUACGUG
rnacentral:rRNA from 1 species